CAGCAGCCACGGUAAUACAGAGGCCUCAAGCGUUGUUCGGAUUCAUUGGGCGUAAAGGGAGCGUAGGCGGUCGGGUAAGUUGGAUGUGAAAUCCUGGGGCUCGACCUCAGAACUGCAUUCAAUACUGCUUGGCUAGAGUAUUGGAGAGGUGAGUGGAAUUCACGGUGUAGCAGUGAAAUGCGUAGAUAUCGUGAGGAAGACCAGCGGCGAAGGCGGCUCACUGGACAAUUACUGACGCUGAUGCUCGAAGGCCAGGGGAGCAAACGGGAUUAGAGACCCGCGUAGUCCCUGUCUCUUAUAU
rnacentral:rRNA from 1 species